CCCUUAGAUGUUCUGGGCUGCACGCGUGCUACACUGAUAUUGCCAAUAUGUCAUUCUUAUCCGAAAUGGAUUGGGUAGUCAAGUAAUGAAAUUUCAUGCUUGGAAUCGGUAAUUGCAAUUUUAUCGUGAACGAGGAAUUCCUAGUAAGCACUAGUCAUCAGCUAAUGUUGAUUACGUCCCUGCCCUUUGUACACACCGCCCGUCGCACCUACCGAUUGGAUGGUCCGGUGAAGCCUCGGGAUUGUGGUUCUUGCCGCUUUAUUGUGGCGUGACCGCGAGAACUUGUCUAAACCUUAUCAUCUAGAGGAAGGUGAAGUCGUAACA
rnacentral:rRNA from 1 species